AUUGAACGCUGGCGGAAUGCUUUACACAUGCAAGUCGAACGGCAGCACGGACUUCGGUCUGGUGGCGAGUGGCGAACGGGUGAGUAAUAUAUCGGAACGUGCCCAGUCGUGGGGGAUAACGUAGCGAAAGCUACGCUAAUACCGCAUACGAUCUACGGAUGAAAGCGGGGGAUCGCAAGACCUCGCGCGAUUGGAGCGGCCGAUAUCAGAUUAGGUAGUUGGUGAGGUAAAGGCUAACCAAGCCGACGAUCUGUAGCUGGUCUGAGAGGACGACCAGCCACACUGGGACUGAGACACGGCCCAGACUCCUACGGGAGGCAGCAGUGGGGAAUUUUGGACAAUGGACGCAAGUCUGAUCCAGCCAUUCCGCGUGCAGGACGAAGGCCUUCGGGUUGUAAACUGCUUUUGUACAGAACGAAAAGGUCUCUAUUAAUACUAGGGGCUCAUGACGGUACUGUAAGAAUAAGCACCGGCUAACUACGUGCCAGCCGCCGCUGUAA
rnacentral:rRNA from 1 species